rnacentral:rRNA from 1 species
CCUAAGUCGGAUUAGCUAGUUGGUAGGGUAAAGGCCUACCAAGGCGACGAUCUGUAGCGGGUCUGAGAGGAUGAUCCGCCACACUGGGACUGAGACACGGCCCAGACUCCUACGGGAGGCAGCAGUGGGGAAUAUUGGACAAUGGGGGGAACCCUGAUCCAGCCAUGCCGCGUGUGUGAAGAAGGCCUUUUGGUUGUAAAGCACUUUAAGCGAGGAGGAGGCUACCUAGAUUAAUACUUUAGGAUAGUGGACGUUACUCGCAGAAUAAGCACCGGCUAACUCUGUGCCAGCAGCCGCGGUAAUACAGAGGGUGCGAGCGUUAAUCGGAUUUACUGGGCGUAAAGCGUGCGUAGGCGGCCAAUUAAGUCAAAUGUGAAAUCCCCGAGCUUAACUUGGGAAUUGCAUUCGAUACUGGUUGGCUAGAGUAUGGGAGAGGAUGGUAGAAUUCCAGGUGUAGCGGUGAAAUGCGUAGAGAUCUGGAGGAAUACCGAUGGCGAAGGCAGCCAUCUGGCCUAAUACUGACGCUGAGGUACGAAAGCAUGGGGAGCAAACAGGAUUAGAUACCCUGGUAGUCCAUGCCGUAAACGAUGUCUACUA